UACGUAGGUGGCAAGCGUUAAUCGGAGUUACUGGGCGUAAAGGGCGCGUAGGCGGAUAUUUAAGUCGGAUGUGAAAUCCCUGGGCUUAACCUAGGAAUUGCAUUCGAUACUGAAUCUCUAGAGUAUGGUAGGGGAAAGUGGAAUUCUCGGUGUAGUGGUAAAAUACGUAGAUAUCGAGAAGAACACCGGUGGCGAAGGCGGCUUUCUGGACCAAUACUGACGCUGAGGCGCGAAAGCGUGGGGAGCAAAC
rnacentral:rRNA from 1 species